GUUCGUAGGUGGUGCGGCAAGUUGGGAGUGAAAUCUCUGGGCUUAACUCAGAGGCUGCUUUCAAACUGCCGUGCUCGAGUGCGAGAGAGGUCAGUGGAAUUGCAGGUGUAGCGGUGAAAUGCGUAGAUAUCUGCAGGAACACCCGUGGCGAAGGCGGCUGACUGGAUCGCAACUGACACUGAGGAACGAAAGCUAGGGGAGCAAACAGGAUUAGAUACCCUGGUAGUCCUAGCCCUAAACCAUCAGAACUUGGGGUGGCCCGCGUAGGCGGGUCGUCCCGUAGCUAACGCGUUAAGUUCUGCGCCUGGGGAGUACGGUCGCAAGACUGAAACUCAAAGGAAUUGACGGGGGCCCGCACAAGCGGUGGAACAUGUGGUUCAAUUCGACGCAACGCGAAGAACCUUACCUGGGCUUGAACCGCUACUGACCAACGGUGGAAAUAUCGUCUUCCCGCAAGGGACAGUAGUAGAGGUGCUGCAUGGCUGUCGUCAGCUCGUGCCGUGAGGUGUUGGGUUAAGUCCCGCAACGAGCGCAACCCUUAUUCGUAGUU
rnacentral:rRNA from 1 species